rnacentral:rRNA from 1 species
UACGAAGGGUGCAAGCGUUAAUCGGAAUUACUGGGCGUAAAGCGCGCGUAGGUGGUUCAGUAAGUUGGAAGUGAAAUCCCCGGGCUCAACCUGGGAACUGCUUUCAAUACUGCUGAGCUAGAGUACGGUAGAGGGUGGUGGAAUUUCCUGUGUAGCGGUGAAAUGCGUAGAUAUAGGAAGGAACACCAGUGGCGAAGGCGACCACCUGGACUGAUACUGACACUGAGGUGCGAAAGCGUGGGGAGCAAACAGG